rnacentral:rRNA from 1 species
UACAGAGACCUCAAGCGUCAUCCGGAUUCACUGGGCGUAAAGCGUCCGCAGGUGGUUCGUUAAGUCGUCUGUCAAAUCCCGGUGCUCAACAUCGGAACUGCGGACGAUACUGGCGAACUUGAGGAUGGAAGAGGUAAGAGGAACUGCUGGUGUAGUAGUAAAAUGCGUUAAUAUCAGCAGGAACACCAAAGGCGAAGGCAUCUUACUGGGACAUUCCUGACACUCAUGGACGAAAGCGUGGGGAGCAAAACGG